rnacentral:rRNA from 1 species
GAUGAACGCUGGCGGCGUGCCUAAUACAUGCAAGUCGAGCGAACAGACGAGGAGCUUGCUCCUCUGACGUUAGCGGCGGACGGGUGAGUAACACGUGGAUAACCUACCUAUAAGACUGGGAUAACUUCGGGAAACCGGAGCUAAUACCGGAUAAUAUAUUGAACCGCAUGGUUCAAUAGUGAAAGACGGUUUUGCUGUCACUUAUAGAUGGAUCCGCGCCGCAUUAGCUAGUUGGUAAGGUAACGGCUUACCAAGGCAACGAUGCGUAGCCGACCUGAGAGGGGGAUCGGCCACACUGGAACUGAGACACGGUCCAGACUCCUACGGGAGGCAGCAGUAGGGAAUAUUCCGCAAUGGGCGAAAGCCUGACGGAGCAAAGCCGCGUGAGUGAUGAAGGUCUUCGGAUCGUAAAACUCUGUUAGUAGGGAAGAAAAAAUGUGUAAGUAACUAUGCACGUAUUGACGGUACCUAAUCAGAAAGCCACGGCUAACUACGUG